AAUAUUGCGCAAUGGAGGAAACUCUGACGCAGUGACGCCGCGUAUAGGAUGACGGUUUUCGGAUUGUAAACUAUUGUCGUUAGGGAAGAUAAUAGACAGUACCUAAGGUGGAAGCUCCGGCAAACUACGUGCCAGCAGCCGCGGUAAUACGUAGGGAGCAAGCGUUAUCCGGAUUUAUUGGGUGUAAAGGGUGCGUAGACGGGAAAUUAAGUUAGUUGUGAAAUCCCUCGGCUCAACUGAGGAACUGCAACUAAAACUGGUUUUCUUGAGUGCAGGAGAGGAAAGAGGAAUUCCUAGUGUAGCGGUGAAAUGCGUAGAUAUUAGGAGGAACACCAGUGGCGAAGGCGUCUUUCUGGACUGUAACUGACGUUGAGGCACAAAAGUGUGGGGAGCAAA
rnacentral:rRNA from 1 species